AUACGUAGGUGGCAAGCGUUAUCCGGAUUUACUGGGCGUAAAGGGCGUGUAGGCGGUCUUGCAAGUCAGAAGUGAAAUUCCUGAGCUCAACUCGGGCGCUGCUUCUGAAACUGCAGGACUUGAGUGCUGGAGGGGAUAGCGGAAUUCCUAGUGGAGCGGUAAAAUGCGCAGAUAUUAGGAAGAACACCGGUGGCGAAGGCGGCUAUCUGGACAGUAACUGACGCUGAGGCGCGAAAGCGUGGGGAGCAAACAGGAUUAGAUACCCUGGUAGGCCACGCCGUAAACGAUGAAUACUAGGUGUAGGGGGUAUCGACUCCCUCUGUGCCGCAGUUAACACAAUAAGUAUUCCGCCUGGGGAGUACGGCCGCAAGGUUGAAACUCAAAUGAAUUGACGGGG
rnacentral:rRNA from 1 species